UGUCCUCUCCUGGAGAAGCAUGUGCCUUUGGAAAGCACACUAGACCAAAAUCAGAACUCAGGAGAAAGGAGAUGGACGUGAAGAUGUACAGCCAAGAAGAAAGAAAGGACUGUGUGUACCAAGAGGUCACCGAGCCCCAGGAUGAUGACUACCUUUAUUGUGAGCAGUGUCAGAACUUCUUCAUCGAC